rnacentral:lncRNA from 1 species
CUCUACCUCCUAUAAAUUCUCCCCCGAGUGGGUCGAACCUCCUCGAACGCUCGCCACUAAAUAAUUCCCUUAAAAAAAAAAUACACCACAAAAGAUAAAGUAAAAAGAAAAAUCCGAAAGAAAUUCCCAAGAAAAGGGGGAGAUAACAAAAGAAGAAGAAAAAGAACGGAUCGAUCGAAGCCUCGAGAACACAAGAAGCGUUUCGACAUCGGGCUCAGGGCUCGCGAAGAUCUAAGCGUUAGGGUUUCUUCGAUGAGUUACGUGAACCGGGUUUUGAUGGCGGCGGGGGUGGCGGCGGUCAAGGGCCGCCGCGACCAUGUGGUUCGGCCGACGGUCCAGCAAGCCAAGGACCAGCUCGCUUUGACGGCCGGUCUAAUCGUCCCGACCGUCGGGCUCGGCGCCGCCCGCUGCGGCGCUGCCUCCGAGGAGGUGCGGCCCCACGCCGACGAGUCGCUCCGCAAGGUCAUGUACCUCAGCUGCUGGGGCCCGGGUUAGACCGGUCCGCGCGCCGAGCCGGACCGGACCGGGUGUAGCUGAAGAGUAGUACUCUCUCUCCCCCAUGUCGGUUUUUCUUUGCACCGGAUCUUUGGGGAGUUUGGUUUGCGUUGGUGGUUAGGGGAUCGAAAGCGGGGUGGGUGUGGUGUUGUUCGGACUUCAGACUCGAGAGAGCGGCGGUCCAUGGCUGACGACGUGGUGGACCAGAUCCCAGAUCCCGAGGCUCGAUGCGGAUCGGCAAAACCAAAACGUACAUAUGCUCUUGUGUAAAUAUUAUAUCCUCUAAUGAAUGAAAGUAUCGGAUGACCAGAGCUUGCGAAUUUGUUCGGUGUAUGAUUAUUUAUUUUUUGGCUAAAUUGCUUUUUUUCUUUUUUCUUUUUUCUUUUUUCUUUUUUCUUUUUUUUUUUUUUGAUCCUAAAAAGCUUGGGGGCUGUGAUAUUUUGCUUCACAAAUUUUUUAAAUUACCUAAUUUUUUCUAUACAUUAUUCUCUAUAAAAUUUACCACAUAACAGUUAAUUAAUAAGUUCACAUCAUCGUUAUCAUCUAAAUAAAUCAUUUUUAUUAAAAAAUAAAUAAAAUAAUAUUUUUUUAUAUUUUUUUAUAUUAUUUGUAUUUAUUGAUAUUUAAUUAUAAGUUGAAAAUUGUAAAAAUUUUAUUUUAUUCAUGUUCUGUGUUCUAU